rnacentral:rRNA from 1 species
AUUGAACGCUGGCGGAAUGCUUUACACAUGCAAGUCGAACGGCAGCACGGACUUCGGUCUGGUGGCGAGUGGCGAACGGGUGAGUAAUGUAUCGGAACGUGCCCAGUCGUGGGGGAUAACGUAGUGAAAAUUACGCUAAUACCGCAUACGAUCUAUGGAUGAAAGCGGGGGAUCGCAAGACCUCGCGCGAUUGGAGCGGCCGAUAUCAGAUUAGGUAGUUGGGGGGGUAAAGGCCCACCAAGCCAACGAUCUGUAGCUGGUCUGAGCGGACGACCAGCAACACUGGAACUGAGACACGGUCAAGACUCCUACGGGAGGCAGCAGUGGGGAAUUUUGGAAAAUGGGCGAAAGCCUGAUCCAGCCAUUCCGCGUGCAGGAUGAAGGCCCUCGGGUUGUAAACUGCUUUUGUACAGAACGAAAAGGUUUCUACUAAUACUAGGAGCUCAUGACGGUACUGUAAGAAUAAGCACCGGCUAACUACGUGCCAGCCGCCGCGGUAA